rnacentral:rRNA from 1 species
GAUGAACGCUGGCGGCGUGCCUAAUACAUGCAAGUCGAGCGAACGGACGAGAAGCUUGCUUCUCUGAUGUUAGCGGCGGACGGGUGAGUAACACGUGGAUAACCUACCUAUAAGACUGGGAUAACUUCGGGAAACCGGAGCUAAUACCGGAUAAUAUUUUGAACCGCAUGGUUCAAAGGUGAAAGACGGUCUUGCUGUCACUUAUAGAUGGAUCCGCGCUGCAUUAGCUAGUUGGUAAGGUAACGGCUUACCAAGGCAACGAUGCAUAGCCGACCUGAGAGGGUGAUCGGCCACACUGGAACUGAGACACGGUCCAGACUCCUACGGGAAGCAGCAGUAGGGAAUCUUCCGCAAUAGGCGAAAGCCUGACGGAGCAACGCCGCGUGAGUGAUGAAGGUCUUCGGAUCGUAAAACUCUGUUAUUAGGGAAGAACAUAUGUGUAAGUAACUGUGCACAUCUUGACGGUACCUAAUCAGAAAGCCACGGCUAACUACGUGCCAGCAGCCGCGGUAAUACGUAGGUGGCAAGCGUUAUCCGGAAUUAUUGGGCGUAAAGCGCGCGUAGGCGGUUUUUUAAGUCUGAUGUGAAAGCCCACGGCUCAACCGUGGAGGGUCAUUGGAAACUGGAAAACUUGAGUGCAGAAGAGGAAAGUGGAAUUCCAUGUGUAGCGGUGAAAUGCGCAGAGAUAUGGAGGAACACCAGUGGCGAAGGCGACUUUCUGGUCUGUAACUGACGCUGAUGUGCGAAAGCGUGGGGAUCAAACAGGAUUAGAUACCCUGGUAGUCCACGCCGUAAACGAUGAGUGCUAAGUGUUAGGGGGUUUCCGCCCCUUAGUGCUGCAGCUAACGCAUUAAGCACUCCGCCUGGGGAGUACGACCGCAAGGUUGAAACUCAAAGGAAUUGACGGGGACCCGCACAAGCGGUGGAGCAUGUGGUUUAAUUCGAAGCAACGCGAAGAACCUUACCAAAUCUUGACAUCCUUUGACAACUCUAGAGAUAGAGCCUUCCCCUUCGGGGGACAAAGUGACAGGUGGUGCAUGGUUGUCGUCAGCUCGUGUCGUGAGAUGUUGGGUUAAGUCCCGCAACGAGCGCAACCCUUAAGCUUAGUUGCCAUCAUUAAGUUGGGCACUCUAAGUUGACUGCCGGUGACAAACCGGAGGAAGGUGGGGAUGACGUCAAAUCAUCAUGCCCCUUAUGAUUUGGGCUACACACGUGCUACAAUGGACAAUACAAAGGGCAGCGAAACCGCGAGGCCAAGCAAAUCCCAUAAAGUUGUUCUCAGUUCGGAUUGUAGUCUGCAACUCGACUACAUGAAGCUGGAAUCGCUAGUAAUCGUAGAUCAGCAUGCUACGGUGAAUACGUUCCCGGGUCU